AGCGAACGCUGGCGGCAGGCUUAACACAUGCAAGUCGAACGGGCAUCUUCGGAUGUCAGUGGCAGACGGGUGAGUAACACGUGGGAACGUACCCUUCGGUUCGGAAUAACUCAGGGAAACUUGAGCUAAUACCGGAUACGCCCUUUUGGGGAAAGGUUUACUGCCGAAGGAUCGGCCCGCGUCUGAUUAGCAUGUUGGUGGGGUAACGGCCUACCAAGGCGACGAUCAGUAGCUGGUCUGAGAGGAUGAUCAGCCACACUGGGACUGAGACACGGCCCAGACUCCUACGGGAGGCAGCAGUGGGGAAUAUUGGACAAUGGGCGCAAGCCUGAUCCAGCCAUGCCGCGUGAGUGAUGAAGGCCUUAGGGUUGUAAAGCUCUUUUGUCCGGGACGAUAAUGACGGUACCGGAAGAAUAAGCCCCGGCUAACUUCGUG
rnacentral:rRNA from 1 species